rnacentral:rRNA from 1 species
AAUUCACUAGUGAUUAGAGUUUGAUCCUGGCUCAGGAUGAACGCUGGCGGCGUGCUUAACACAUGCAAGUCGAACGGAGCCUUUCGGGGCUUAGUGGCGGACGGGUGAGUAACGCGUGAGGAUCUGCCCUUAGGACGGGGACAACAGUUGGAAACGACUGCUAAUACCGGAUAUGGCGAGAGCUGAAAGAUUGUAUCGCCUGAGGAUGAACUCGCGUCUGAUUAGCUAGUUGGUGGGGUAAUAGCUUACCAAGGCGACGAUCAGUAGCUGGUCUGAGAGGAUGAACAGCCACACUGGGACUGAGACACGGCCCAGACUCCUACGGGAGGCAGCAGUGGGGAAUUUUCCGCAAUGGGGGCAACCCUGACGGAGCAACGCCGCGUGCGGGAGGACGGUUUGUGGACUGUAAACCGCUUUUAAUAGGGAAGAAGUUCUGACGGUACCUAUUGAAUAAGCAUCGGCUAACUCCGUGCCAGCAGCCGCGGUAAUACGGAGGAUGCAAGCGUUAUCCGGAAUUAUUGGGCGUAAAGGGUCCGCAGGUGGCCUAUCAAGUCAGCUGUUAAAGACUGGGGCUUAACCCCGGAGUAGCAGUUGAAACUGGUGGGCUAGAGUACGGUAGGGGUAGAGGGAAUUCCUAGUGUAGCGGUGAAAUGCGUAGAUAUUAGGAAGAACACCAGUGGCGAAGGCGCUCUACUGGGCCUGUACUGACACUGAGGGACGAAAGCUAGGGGAGCGAAAGGGAUUAGAUACCCCUGUAGUCCUAGCUGUAAACGAUGAACAGUCCGUGCUUAGCCCGC